rnacentral:rRNA from 1 species
AACGCUAGCUACAGGCUUAACACAUGCAAGUCGAGGGGCAGCAUGGUCUUAGCUUGCUAAGGCCGAUGGCGACCGGCGCACGGGUGAGUAACACGUAUCUAACCUGCCGUCUACUCUUGGACAGCCUUCUGAAAGGAAGAUUAAUACAAGAUGGCAUCAUGAGUCCGCAUGUUCACAUGAUUAAAGGUAUUCCGGUAGACGAUGGGGAUGCGUUCCAUUAGAUAGUAGGCGGGGUAACGGCCCACCUAGUCUUCGAUGGAUAGGGGUUCUGAGAGGAAGGUCCCCCACAUUGGAACUGAGACACGGUCCAAACUCCUACGGGAGGCAGCAGUGAGGAAUAUUGGUCAAUGGGCGAGAGCCUGAACCAGCCAAGUAGCGUGAAGGAUGACUGCCCUAUGGGUUGUAAACUUCUUUUAUAAAGGAAUAAAGUCGGGUAUGGAUACCCGUUUGCAUGUACUUUAUGAAUAAGGAUCGGCUAACUCCGUGCCAGCAGCCGCGGUAAUACGGAGGAUCCGAGCGUUAUCCGGAUUUAUUGGGUUUAAAGGGAGCGUAGAUGGAUGUUUAAGUCAGUUGUGAAAGUUUGCGGCUCAACCGUAAAAUUGCAGUUGAUACUGGAUAUCUUGAGUGCAGUUGAGGCAGGCGGAAUUCGUGGUGUAGCGGUGAAAUGCUUAGAUAUCACGAAGAACUCCGAUUG